rnacentral:rRNA from 1 species
GGUUAAUGCUAGCGGUGCGCUUAACACAUGCAAGUCGAGCGGGGUGAUGGUGCUUGCACUAUCACUUAGCGGCGGACGGGUGAGUAAUGCUUAGGAAUCUGCCUAUUAGUGGGGGACAACAUCUCGAAAGGGAUGCUAAUACCGCAUACGUCCUACGGGAGAAAGCAGGGGAUCACUUGUGACCUUGCGCUAAUAGAUGAGCCUAAGUCGGAUUAGCUAGUUGGUGGGGUAAAGGCCUACCAAGGCGACGAUCUGUAGCGGGUCUGAGAGGAUGAUCCGCCACACUGGGACUGAGACACGGCCCAGACUCCUACGGGAGGCAGCAGUGGGGAAUAUUGGACAAUGGGGGGAACCCUGAUCCAGCCAUGCCGCGUGUGUGAAGAAGGCCUUAUGGUUGUAAAGCACUUUAAGCGAGGAGGAGGCUCUUUUGGUUAAUACCCAAGAUGAGUGGACGUUACUCGCAGAAUAAGCACCGGCUAACUCUGUGCCAGCAGCCGCAGUAA